rnacentral:rRNA from 1 species
AUUGAACGCUGGCGGCAGGCCUAACACAUGCAAGUCGAGCGGAUGACGGGAGCUUGCUCCUUGAUUCAGCGGCGGACGGGUGAGUAAUGCCUAGGAAUCUGCCUGGUAGUGGGGGACAACGUUUCGAAAGGAACGCUAAUACCGCAUACGUCCUACGGGAGAAAGCAGGGGACCUUCGGGCCUUGCGCUAUCAGAUGAGCCCAGGUCGGAUUAGCUAGUUGGUGGGGUAAUGGCUCACCAAGGCGACGAUCCGUAACUGGUCUGAGAGGAUGAUCAGUCACACUGGAACUGAGACACGGUCCAGACUCCUACGGGAGGCAGCAGUGGGGAAUAUUGGACAAUGGGCGAAAGCCUGAUCCAGCCAUGCCGCGUGUGUGAAGAAGGUCUUCGGAUUGUAAAGCACUUUAAGUUGGGAGGAAGGGCAGUAAGUUAAUACCUUGCUGUUUUGACGUUACCAACAGAAUAAGCACCGGCUAACUCUGUGCCAGCCGCCGCCGUAACAC